AUGCUCCUGUUGUCAAGUCUGCUUGAUUUUUUCUUCUAAUUUUAGCUAGCUCUGCCUGGUGAAAGCAUUCUUCCAUGCCAAGUAGCCAGUCAGCUUGCCAACAUGAUACAGAGUAGCGUUUAGUGACCUUUCCUCUCAUGUAAACAUGCAUUUGUUUCAGGCACUAAGAAAAAACACAUGUGUUCUAAAAUGCUUUCCAUUGCAGGUUGUUCUUGAAGGAUUAGUUUUGUAUAUCUUCUAUUAUUUAAUAAACAUUAAAUGCUCGGUUCAUUUCAACCUGAACUGUAUUGUUGGAGACAUGCUCUAUAGUAAGUCGCUGAUUUCCAAGUAUUCAGGCAAAAAAAGGCGUGUUUAGUCAGAUUUAGCUUUUGAACUUCCCUCGAGAUAUGUCCCAACCAUCAUAUUUUAAAUAGCUUCUGUUUUCUAAAUACGAGACACUGGACAUGACAGUAUGUAACAAUGUGUCGAUGUUACUUUUCAUUUACAUUCACAUGCUGUUGUAGUGUUCCAGGCUUGCAAAUGAUAAAACAUUUCAAGUAAGUAUGCAGUACCACUCACUCGUUCCUAAUAAAUAUGCAAGCUUUUUUAUCCUCUGUUUUUCUUUACCCAGUGAAACUCUUUGAACAGGGCUCUCUUGGUUAAGUCUGAUUCUUUUAGUUCAUAAAUAUGUACAGGGAUGAGGCGGCAAUAGUUGCAUUCUCUGUAUAUGAACAUGAAGACCUAGAAGGUCGUCUCCUGGAAAGGGAUGCUUCAUUUACAAGAGCGGCUCUCCCCAACAACACUGUUGUGAUGUACUGAAGCCUCCCGUUCCACAUGCUGGGUACUUACACCUCAACGUCACUUCUAUGAGUUGUGGCCUAGAUCAGCAUGUGUAUGUGCCACAGCUUGUGGGAGGGACAAAAUGGGAGGUCGCCUUGAAAUUGUGGAAGUGCAAGGGAGGCCGGAAGAGUGCAUUGCUACACUGCUGCCCUGUUUCUCCUUAUUGCUGCCGACUCACCUUCGUGUAGCGCUAUUUCCAUAGGGAACCAGCAAUAACCACAUUAUGAAAGGGUCAAGGAGCACUGAUCCGAUGUGCAUCGAUGACAAUGAAGCCGGCAAAGCGACGAGUUCACCUGGCCCUCAGCAGCGGCAGCGACGAGCUCGCCUAGCGCUCCUACCGCGUCGCUGGUGCGACCUCCUUGCUAGAUCCCGGCCAUGCAGCCUCGGCGCAGUGACUGAGUUGCUCCUAAAUGCGCGGAGCAGUGCCGCUUGGCCGGCGAAGUGGCCGGUAGCAGGAAGUCCGCCGUUGUAAAUAGUUGUACAAAAUGGUCAUGUGUUCCUAUCUCUCUGUCGUAAAAAAUGGUCAUGUGUUCUAUCUCUCAUCGUAUGAAAGCACCAAGCUUGAUUCUGUCUUAUAAUGUGAUUGUCAUCUUCAGAUCCAUUAUGUUAUGCUUCUAACACAAAUAGUUGCCUGCACAUGCUA